AUCGAACGCUGGCGGCAGGCUUAACACAUGCAAGUCGAGCGCCCGCAAGGGGAGCGGCAGACGGGUGAGUAACGCGUGGGAAUCUACCCAUCUCUACGGAAUAACGCAUGGAAACGUGUGCUAAUACCGUAUACGUCCUUCGGGAGAAAGAUUUAUCGGAGAUGGAUGAGCCCGCGUUGGAUUAGCUAGUUGGUGGGGUAAAGGCCUACCAAGGCGACGAUCCAUAGCUGGUCUGAGAGGAUGAUCAGCCACUGGGACUGAGACACGGCCCAGACUCCUACGGGAGGCAGCAGUGGGGAAUAUUGGACAAUGGGCGCAAGCCUGAUCCAGCCAUGCCGCGUGAGUGAUGAAGGCCCUAGGGUUGUAAAGCUCUUUCACCGGUGAAGAUAAUGACGGUAACCGGAGAAGAAGCCCCGGCUAACUUCGUGCCCGCCGCCGCGGUAAUAC
rnacentral:rRNA from 1 species